CCCUUAGAUGUUCUGGGCCGCACACGCGCUACACUGAAGGAGGCAGCGUGUACUCCCGGAUCGAAAGAUUUGGGUAACCCGCGAAUCUCCUUUGUGCUAGGGAUUGAGGUUUGCAAUUAUCCUUCAUGAACGAGGAAUUCCCGGUAAGUGCAAGUCAUAAGCUUGCGCUGACUACGUCCCUGCCCUUUGUACACACCGCCCGUCGCUACUACCGAUUGAAUGAUUUAGUGAGGACUUCGGACUGGGACCGAUGCGGCUUUCGGGCUGCGUCGGUAUUCUGGAAAGAUGUCCAAACUGUAUCAUUUAGAGGAAGUAAAAGUCGUAACA
rnacentral:rRNA from 1 species